GACAAUGGAGACUUAAACCAUGACUGGAGCUGAGAGGGAGACCAAACAUGAGUGAGGUACAGAUGGACUAGGGCAAAGGUCAAGGAACUAAGAGCAGAUUAAGUAGAAACAUCAGAUGAGUGGUCAGAGCAAUGCUGAAAUCUAUUCCACCACAACUCUUCUCCUACCCUGCUUUUCUCUGACUGAUAAGAAGGGAAGAUCUUCUCCUGGCCAUAAAGAUGGGCUGGCUUCUGCAGAUUUAAGCAAAUCUUUGGUGCUACACUCUGUCACAAGAUUUGAAGGCCUGGAAUCCAACUUGAACCAGAAGAAUGGUGGUAACCAGAAACCCACUGUAUUUGCCAAUAGAGGACUUAACUAGCGGUGAGACUUAUUACUUCAUACACAAAUUGGAGCUCUCUGAUGAGAAGCAGAAUGAAUUUCAGGGACUACAUGCAUGGAGCUGAAUUUCAAGUACAGACUGACAAUAAUCCACUGAUUUACAUUUUCAGCAUUAAGAUGCUGCCAGUUAAAAGAUUCGAAGCAACCCUAGCCAACUAUGAGUUUGGCUCAUAAUAUAGUUCAGGAAAGACAAAUGUCAAUGUUGAUGAUCUGCCCACUAAGCCACGUGGAACUAACCAGUAUACACCAUAGCUAAAACACUUGAAGAGAGGUCAGCUGAAGUCUUUUAUUUUGUAACUCAGAAGAUACAGGCAUACCUCAUUUUAUUGUGCUUCACUUUAUUGCAUUUUGAAGACAUUAUGUUUUUUUUAAAAAUUGAAGGUUUGUGGUAACCCUAUGUCAAGCAAGUCUAUCAGUGCCAUUUUUUUUUCAAUGGCAUGUUCACACAUGGCAUCUUUGUGUCACAUGUUGGCAAUUCUCACAACAUUUCAAACUUUUCAUUAUUAUUGUAUCUGCAAUGGCGAUCUGUGAUCAUUUAUCUUUGAUGUUACUGUAAUAAUUAUUUUGAAAUACCACAAACCACACCCAUAUAAGAUGGAGAACUUAAACAAUAAAUGUUGUGUUUAAACAAUAAACAAUUAAACAAUAAAUGUGUGUUUUGACUCUUCUACCAA